UACGGAGGGUGCAAGCGUUAUCCGGAUUCACUGGGUUUAAAGGGUGCGUAGGUGGGUCUGUAAGUCAGUGGUGAAAUCCCCGAGCUUAACUUGGGAACUGCCAUUGAUACUAUAGAUCUUGAAUACUGUGGAGGUCAGCGGAGUAUGUCAUGUAGCGGUGAAAUGCUUAGAUAUGACAUAGAACACCAAUUGCGAAGGCAGCUGGCUACACAAAUAUUGACACUGAGGCACGAAAGCGUGGGGAUCAAACAGG
rnacentral:rRNA from 1 species